rnacentral:rRNA from 1 species
AUGGCAGGGCCUACGCCGACGUACUCCGCCGUCGUGGCGCACGCCUCGGCGUUCCUCGCGGAGCUCAUCGCCGACCCGCUCCUCCGGCGCCACCUCCUCUCCGCCGCAGCCGCCGCGGACGGCAGCGGGGGGCAGCACACGGCCGCGACGCUCCAGGCGCUGUCGCUCAUAUCGGACGCGCUAGACACGGUACCGUCCGCCUCGCCGUCGCCGUCGUCGCUCCGCGCCGCCGAGCGGCUGCUGCUGUCCCUCCCCGCGGCCACCCCGCUCUCCUGCCUCCUCUCCGCUAUCGCGUCGGCAGCGCGACGACGCGGCGGGGCGCCUUCCGCUGCGUCCGCCGUGCUCGACCUCUUCGUCCUCGACCCCGCGCUCGCGCGCCACGAGCUCGCGCCCGCGGCAUUCGAGGCGCUCUUCGCGCCGCGCCUCCUCGCCGUCAUGCGGCACUUCGCCACGCGCCGCGCGUCGGCCGUCGCCGCCGUGGCUUCCGCGGCGCAGGGCGACGAGGAAAGAUCCGACGAGACAGUGGCGCUGUCGGCGAUGAGGGUGCUGUCGCUGAUGAGCGGCGCCCAGGCGCACGAGAUGAGGGGCCUGGAGCGCGAGUACGAGAUGGUGCUGGACGUGAACUGCAAGGCCUACGCGCUCUACCUAAAGAAGAUCCUCGAAGCCGGCGAGGCGCCACGGAUGACGCCGCCGCCUCCUCCCCCAGAGCUUGUAUUCACCACCGGACAGCACGCCGACGAGUACGAGAACACCGGCUACGAGGAAGCCUCGACGGACGCCGACGAUGGGGCCGUCAGUUCGCAGAAUGGCGUACGGAAUAAUCCGAUGUGGGCGGAGGCGGAGGGCGACAUGUACCCGCGGCAGGGCAGCAUCAAGGGCCGGAGGGAAAUGAUGAGGCCGCCGAGCCUGUACCCGCAGCGCGUGGCUCCGCACCUCAUAGUGCAGCAGCAGAAGAAGCAGCCGCCGCAGGUCGGCAGAGGAAGCCCGGCGUCCAGACUCCGGGCCGGGUACUCUCCUGCCACGGCUUCCGACGAAAGCACGGAGGAUUCUUCAUCCGAGAUCUACACCGGAAAACAGGAAAAGCCUGCGUCGUCCCCACUGUCCAAGCCACGCAGAGCUCAGCCACGCGCCGACGACGGCGCCCGCCCCUCUCCGGAGCCCUCGAGGUCCCCGAUGGGCGGCGACGCCGAGCUGUCGCGGCACCAGCAGCAGGCGGCGACGACGCCCAAGGACUUCGUGUGCCCGAUCACGAGCCAGGUCUUCGACGACCCCGUCACGCUCGAGACCGGCCAGACGUACGAGCGCCGCGCCAUACAGGAGUGGCUCGACCGCGGCAACGCCACCUGCCCCAUCACGCGCCAGCACCUCCACGGCGGCAGCCUCCCCAAGACCAACUACGUCCUCAAGCGCCUCAUCGCCGGCUGGCGCGAGCAGAGCCCGCCCGCCACGCCGAUCACGCCCCCCACGCCCGCCACGCCCGCGGUGCCGAGAACGCCCGCGACCGCGAGGAUGGAAAGCCCGGCCCCCGCGUUCAAGAUCAACUCGCCGUCCCCGGACGCCACCGGCAGCCAGGCGAGCGCGCCGUCGCCGACCAGCGUCAUCGUGCAGGCCACGGUGGAGAGCGCCGUCGGCGAGCUCCGCGCCGCGGCGUCCUGCCUCUGCACGUCCGAGGAGCUGGCCGAGUCGGAGAAGUCGGUCCUCAGGAUCGAGCGGCUCUGGCGCGAGGCCGGCGCCGCCGAGCAGGCCUUCUUCUCCGCGCUGGCCAAGCCCGCCGUCAUCAACGGCUUCGUGGAGAUCCUCUUCAACUCCGUCAGCGCGCAGGUGCUGCAGGUGGCCGUCUUCCUCCUCGCCGAGCUCGCCUCCCGCGACGACGGCGUCGUGCAGACGCUCACGCGGGUGGACACCGACGUGGACUGCCUGGUCGCGCUGUUCAAGAAAGGGCUCGUCGAGGCCGUCGUGCUCAUCUUCCUCCUGUCUCCUUCCGUGGAGCAGCUCGUUGAGAUGGACAUGGGCGAAGCGCUGGUGGCAACCAUCCGGCGAGCCGAUGAGGCAGACGCGCUCAACAUGUGCGUCAAGCCCAAGUCCGCGUCAGUGAUCCUCCUGAGCCAGAUUCUCACAGAAUCAGGCGUCAGCCGGGAGAGCACGCCGCCGGUGCCGAGGUCCUCUCUGGUGUCUGAGAGGUUCGUUAGGAGCACGGCGCUGGUCUUGGAGGCCGAGCAGGUGGAGGUAAGGGUGGCCGCAAUGAGGAUCCUGAUGCGAUGCAUCGGGGAAGACGGCCACUGCCGGAGCAGCAUCGUGGAGAAGCUGGCGGUGAACGCCGUCCUAGACGCCUUCCACGUCGUCGGCGACGCCGACAAGUUCGAAAUCGUGCGGUUCCUCUCCGAGCUUCUGAAGCUGAAAAGGCGAUCGGCCGCGGAACGUGUGCUUCGGGCGAUCAAAGAGGGGAGCUCCUUCAGCAUGAUGCACACGCUCCUCGUGUAUCUGCAGUCCACGACGCCGGAGCAGAGCCCCGUCGUUGCCGGACUUCUUCUUCAGCUCGAUCUCUUGGUGGAGCCGAGGAAGAUAAGCAUGUACCGCGAGGAGGCGAUGGACAGCCUCGUGCAGUGCCUCAAGAACUCGGAUUUCCCGAGGAGCCAGCUCCUCGCCGCCGAGACCAUCAUGAACUUCCCCGGAAAGUUCUCGUCGUCGGGGCGGCCGCUCGCCCGGUCGGCCCUGCUGAAGCUCGCCAGGGUGAAGGAGAGGUACCGGCAGUCGCAGGAGCUGAGCGUCGUUCGUGGCACCGACGGCGCCGAGGACGACGCCGCCGGGGAGGAGAAGGCGGCGUCGGAGUGGGAGAGGAAGACGGCCUACGCGCUGGUGAGCCACGAGUUCGGGCUGGUGCUGGAGGCCCUGUCCGAGUGCCUGGAGAGCAAGAACGCGGAGCUGUUCGCGGCGAGCCUCGUGUGCGCGGCAUGGCUCGUCCACAUGCUCUCCCUCCUCCCGGACACCGGCGUGCUCGGCGCCGCGCGUGUCUGCCUGCUCCGGCAGCUUGUGCUCGUCCUCAGGUCCGCCAAGCACGGCAGCGACCGCGCCCUCGCCAUGGUGGCGCUGAGGAGCUUCAUGAACGACCGCGAGGGAAUGCAAGACAUCACGACGUACAUCAAGGACGUGCUGAGAACACUGAGGGAGCUCAAGAAAUCGUCCGGCCUAGCGUUCGAGAUGCUGAAGCUACUGUCAGAUGGUCAGGAGUCUAGCAUCGACAUGUGGAACCACAAGGAGCUGAACAACGCCGACUGCAGCUCGAACGGCGAGGUCACGUCGAUCGUUUACUACAAGAGCUACAUCUUCUCCGGGCACUCUGAUGGAACACUAAAGGUCUGGGAGGGAAGCGAGAACAUCCUUCGGCUCGUCCAGGAAUCCCAGGAGCACGCGAAAGCCAUCACCAGCUUGUCAAUCCUGCCUUCGGAGGAGAAGCUGUACAGCGGAUCCAUGGACAGAACUAUCAGGGUUUGGCAGUUCCGGGACGGCCUCCGGUGCGCGGAGGUGUACGACACGAGGGACCCCGUGCAGAACCUGGCGGUGGCGAGCGCCAUGGCCUGCUUCGUGCCGCAGGGCGCUGGCGUGAAGACGCUGAGCUGGAACGGCGGCACCCCCAAGGUGCUGAACCCGAGCAAGUCCGUGCGGUCCAUGGCGCUGGUGCACGGCAAGCUCUUCUGCGGCUGCAACGACGGCAGCAUCCAGGAGAUCGACCUGGCCAGCGGCACGCUGGGCGUCAUCCAGCCCGGGAACAAGAGGAUCCUCGGCAAGUCCAACCCGGUCUACUCCCUGCAGGUCCACGACGGGCUGCUCUACACCGGGAGCACCCCUCUCGACGGCGCGUCCGUCAAGAUAUGGAACAGCUCGAACUACAACCUGGUUGGGUCGAUACCGUCGGCGGCGGAGGUGCGGUCACUGGUGGUGAGCGCGGACCUGGUGUACCUGGGCUCAAGGAACGGCGCCGUGGAGAUCUGGUCCAGGGAGAAGCUCAUCAAGAUCGGCGCUCUUCAGGCCGGCGGCGCCGGCUGCCGGGUCCAGUGCAUGGCGGUGGACGCCGACGGGGACGUCCUCGUCGUCGGAACGUCUGACGGCAAAAUUCAGGCUUGGGGAUUGACUUGA